rnacentral:sRNA from 1 species
CUUAAAGAGAAAAUCCGAGAAUAUGAACAGACACUGAAGAACCAAGCCGAAACCAUAGCUCUUGAGAAGGAACAGAAGUUACAGAAUGACUUUGCAGAAAAGGAGAGAAAGCUGCAGGAGACACAGAUGUCCACCACCUCAAAGCUGGAGGAAGCUGAGCAUAAGGUUCAGAGCCUACAAACAGCCCUGGAAAAAACUCGAACAGAAUUAUUUGACCUGAAAACCAAAUACGAUGAAGAAACUACUGCAAAAAGUGGCAGAGGAGAAAGUGACUUGCCUCACGCUGCCCGGUUCCACCCAGGGACCUUGUGAAGAGACGCGGGAAGGCUGGCAGAAAGGAGAACCGUCCUUCCCGUGGAAUACUCCCGUGAUCGCACCACUCCACUCCAGCCUGGGUGACAAGAGCAAAACUCCAUCUCAAAAAAAAAAAAAAAGGCACUGUACAUGUGUCCAUGUAUAUAAACAUGUUUAUGAAUAUACAUAAAUAAUUUUUAAAAAAA